AUGCAGCUGGCGGAGCAGAAGGAGCUGCUCAAGAAGGCCCAGAAAGAGGCGGAGGACAAGGAGACCGCCCUCCUUGCUGAAUUCGCGUCCGAGCCCUCCUCCUGGACCGACAAGGAGGCGAUGUUGUCCUCCGGCUUCCAUGAGAUCGAGGAUCUCGUCGAUGACUUCUUCCCUGGCCACUCGGACGCCACCAACCAGGCCAUCGAGGCUGAUCGUGAAGGGCAGAGGGCGGAUGGCGCGAAGAUCGCCGCUGACUCCCCCCGAACCCUUAAUGAGCAGAUCCUGAGCAUUGAGGCUUGUCUUCGGCCGGCCCACUGGAUGUUGCGCCGGCUUCAACGUGUCGACGCCCAGGCGAUCGCCGCCCUGUGGCCGGACAUGCAGGCACCGCGCACCCCAAGUCGGACUGCCGACUGGCUGGAGGUAGCGGCUGGCCGCCUUGAAGCUUGGAAGGGCUCUUCAGCUCGGGAUGGAGCGCGCCGGGCCUUAGAGUUCGUCAAGGCGUGGUAUCCUGGGCUGAGUCUAGCCCAGCUAGCCACGUUCCGGCUAGAAGUGAAGGAAAUAUGCCCUAGAGGCAAUAAUAAAGUUAUUAUUUAUUUCCUUAUAUCAUGA
rnacentral:rRNA from 1 species